GGUAUCAAGUGAUGAAAACGUGAAACUAUCUUAUGACACCUUCUGAUAGUGUUUGUAUCCUAUGAAUUAAAAUCCAUUUAUUUCCCGAUGAUGCU